GCCCUCGUAGUUCAGCUGGAUAGAACACCUCCGUCCUAAGGAGGGUGUCGGGAGUUCGAAUCUCUCCGAGGGUG
rnacentral:tRNA from 1 species